AGUGAACGCUGGCGGUAGGCCUAACACAUGCAAGUCGAACGGCAGCACAGUAAGAGCUUGCUCUUACGGGUGGCGAGUGGCGGACGGGUGAGGAAUACAUCGGAAUCUACUUUUUCGUGGGGGAUAACGUAGGGAAACUUACGCUAAUACCGCAUACGACCUACGGGUGAAAGCAGGGGAUCUUCGGACCUUGCGCGAUUGAAUGAGCCGAUGUCGGAUUAGCUAGUUGGCGGGGUAAAGGCCCACCAAGGCGACGAUCCGUAGCUGGUCUGAGAGGAUGGUCAGCCACACUGGAACUGAGACACGGUCCAGACUCCUACGGGAGGCAGCAGUGGGGAAUAUUGGACAAUGGGCGCAAGCCUGACCCAGCCAUACCGCGUGGGUGAAGAAGGCCUUCGGGUUGUAAAGCCCUUUUGUUGGGAAAGAAAAGCAGCAGGUUAAUACCCCGCUGUUCUGACGGUACCCAAAGAAUAAGCACCGGCUAACUUCGUG
rnacentral:rRNA from 1 species